CAGCUCCAAUAGCGUAUAUUAAAGUUGUUGCGGUUAAAAAAGCUCGUAGUUGGAUUUCUGUCGAAAACGACUGGUCCGCCCCACUGGGGUGUGUAUCUGGUUCGGUUUCGGCAUCUUCGUGGGGGAACGUUGCUGCACUUGACUGUGUGGUACGGUAUCCAUGACAUUUACUUUGAGGAAAUAGAGUGUUUCAAGCAGGC
rnacentral:rRNA from 1 species